AACGAACGCUGGCGGCAGGCUUAACACAUGCAAGUCGAGCGCCCCGCAAGGGGAGCGGCAGACGGGUGAGUAACGCGUGGGAACGUACCCUUUGCUACGGAAUAGCUCCGGGAAACUGGAAUUAAUACCGUAUGUGCCCUACGGGGGAAAGAGUUAGUCGGCAAAGGAUCGGCCCGCGUUGGAUUAGCUAGUUGGUGGGGUAAUGGCCUACCACGGCGACGAUCCAUAGCUGGUCUGAGAGGAUGAUCAGCCACAUUGGGACUGAGACACGGCCCAAACUCCUACGGGAGGCAGCAGUGGGGAAUAUUGUACAAUGGGCGCAAGCCUGAUCCAGCCAUGCCGCGUGAGUGAUGAAGGCCUUAGGGUUGUAAAGCUCUUUCACCGGAGAAGAUAAUGACGGUAUCCGGAGAAGAAGCCCCGGCUAACUUCGUGCCAGCCGCCGCCGUAAAAC
rnacentral:rRNA from 1 species